AAUACUACUACGGUAUUUCUAUUGGUUAUUAGUUUUUUUUUUCAAAACAAUUAAUAUUAAAAGUUAUUUCGUCAUUUCUAAGAAACGUAAUUAUGUACAUACUACACUGCAUUCAAAUGCAUUGCUUUCAAAUAGUUUCAGUCUUUUCUGGUUUGGUGCAUCUAAUAAGACACAGAAUAUAAAAUAUUUUGAGUGAAUUUUGUUAAAGCUGCAUUUUUUUAACUAACAUACCUAAUGAGCGAUAUCGAAUGUGGCGACUGUUCAUGCUGCAUUGAUUGUGGAGAUUGCGGUUAUGUGGGUGAAGCUGGAGACAUGGCUAAUUGCUGUAUUGAAUGUUGCUUUUGUCUAACAUCCUCAAAUAAUACUACAAAUUAUAAUACUCCCAAUGACAAAACUUCCGAGGAUAAUAAAACUGAUACAAACUGUGUGGUAUUAGUUAUAUCAAUUCUAUUGGCAACAGUUUGUAUAGUUGUUGUUACAGUCGUCAGCAUAACCCACUUGUAGGCAUAUUACAGUAUCCAUAUCAAAGGAAUAAUCGUCGCUCAAUAUGGAUGGAGGAUGCGAUAGUGGCGGUGGAUUUGAUAGCGGCGGCUGUGACACAGUGUGUGAUGUCGGUGGUGGUGGCGAUAGUGGUACUUGUCAUAGUUAUGAUAAUACGGGUACCGAUAGUAGAACUUGUGAUAUUACCAGCAAUAAUGAUUCUAUCAAUUACCACUUUCACAACGAUAGAUCCUGUGAAUUACCAAAUAAUAUGGAUAAUGUGCAUUAUUUAAACAAUUAUAGUUCUAAACCAAAAGAAUCCCUUUGCGGUUUAUGCUGUAUUGGAACAUUUCUAAUAUUCUUUUUUGUAGUUGUGGUGGCAAUUAUAGUUUUAAUCGCUACUAAUGUUUAAUCGCUACUAACUAAUACUGUACUAAUAACGGUGGUAAGCCCUUCCCUCCAUUAUAUAUAUAAAAAAACUGUUAUUUAGAAAUUAAUAAGUUUUUAAAAUCUUAUUUAUACAUAUUACAAAGUAAUACUUACAUAUAUAUCUAUUAUAUUAUUUUUAAACAUUUUAUAUUAUUUUUAUACUAAUUGUUUUUUAUAAUAAAUUAUGCGUUUAAAUUA